UACUGGGCCCAUGUGACAUUUGGGGACCCCAAGGCCCUGAGAAAGGCAGAAAAAUAACCCACGCAGGGACUCUCAGCCCACAAGUGAAGCUGAGAACCGGGAAUGGAAAACAGGGAGGCAGCACAGAGGCAGGAAACUCAGGUGUCACAGCUUGGCUCAGCUUGGAAUGCACUCCCUCCACCUCCACCCAGAGCUCCCCACAACUGACCCUGCCUUCUCCUGCAAGCUCCAUUUCAUCAAGGGAAAGGAU